rnacentral:misc_RNA from 1 species
UCCCUGGAUCAACCAAGGCAGUCUCGUAUGAAAAUACAACAUACGACAGGGGUUGCGUUCGUUACCACACUUAAGUGGACGCCUCACGACACGAACUGACGACAACCAUGCAGCAGCUGUCACUGGUCCAGCCGAACUGACUCCUAUGUUUCCAUAAGAUGCGACCAGGAUGUCAAACCCAGGUAAGGUUCUUCGUUUCGUAUCGAAUUAAACCACAUGGGACGCAGAUUGUGUGUUUCCCCGUCAAUUCCUUUGAGUUUUAGCCUUGCGGCCGUACUCCCCAGGCGGGAUACUUAACGCGUUAGCUUGCGCCACUCCCAAAUUACUUUAGGAAUAGCUAGUAUCCAUAGUUUACGGCUAGGACUAC